AGGCCCUGAGCUGUCAGCACAGGGCCCAAUGUGGGGCAAGAACUCACGAAUGGUGAGAUCAUGACCUAAGCUGAAGUCAGACGCUUAACCAAUUGAGCCACCCAGGCGCCCCUCUUCUACUCCAUUAAUGGUUUAUCCAAGAAGCACUUUCUUAAUUAAUCAUUUUAUCCAAAUCCUUGCUUCAGGGUCUACCUCUGGAAGAAUUCAACCUAAGACAAACCAUAUGAAACUACUGCAAAGCAAUAAACACAAGCAGGACUUAAAGUUUAUGAACAGAGAGGGGAAGCACAUUAGAAUCAAGCUGAUAUACUGCUGUUCUAUCUGUCAGGUAGAAUAAGUACAAUUUGUUAUCCACGAUGUCCUGAUUCAUCAACACAUGCUAAAAGAAAAGGAUCAAAUUAUCAAAAAACAAGAGAAGAAACCCAGGUAACAGAAAAAAGGAGCUACCCGGUGAAUUUGAUUUUGGAAUGUAAUCAAACAAGGACUAAAACAUCUAUGAUUUAUAUCCAAGAGAAGGAAAGAUGAAGAAUUUCACCGAAGAGCAAGAAUCUACAUAUAUUUUUAUUAAGUUUUUUAUUUUAAUUCCAAUACAGUUAACACCCAGUGUUAUAUUAGUUUCAGGUGUAUAAUACAGUGAUUCAACAAUUCUAUACAUUCCUCGGUGUUCAUCCUGGGCUCUUCAUGGGUUUGUAGGAGAUGCCCCCUACAAAUCACUGUUGAUCUCUUGGCUGCCGUUCCCUCGACCUGAAAGGAUACGCUCUAUACUCCCAAACACUAGGAAUUCCAUGGGACUCCUCCAGCUUCUCCUUGUUUACGUGGCCUUUGAGCCAGAUUAUGCAAUGACCCCAAGGAGGCUCUCUUUCACAUCUGGUUCAUGGGAAACACUCAUGCACUGAUUGCCUAACAAACUCUGGAAGAACAGGCUGAUUCCAAUUUACUAGAUACUCUCCCCUGCUCUACUUCCAAGCAGCAAGCCAGCUCUUCUCUUGAUCUCUAGAUUUCCCGAAAAGGAGUCAGACAUCAGCAAACGGUGACCUGAUAAAUUCAAAGGACAUACUUUAGGCUUUGCAACUUGAAGCCUCUCUCUUUUGACUCGAGUAUUCUACAAAACUGCCAUUGUUCUAAAAGACAAAGAAAGGCUCCGGAACUGUUCCAGAUGAAAGAGACUACAGAGAACAGCCGAAUGUAGCAGGUACACUGCAACACCUAGAGGAGGAAAACAAAAGCUGGGAAGGAUGCCAUUCAGCUGACCGACUGGAAUGUAAACUUAAGUUCUUCAAAGGAACUGUUUCACGGUUAACAGUUCCUGCAGCGGAUAACUGUACUGUGGUUACAUAACACAAUGUCCUUUUUCUUAGGAAAUAGACAACAAAGUAUCUGGAGACAGGUGUAACCUAUGUGGCUUAUUCUUAAAUAAUUUAGAAAAAAAUAGAGAAAGAGAAAGAAGGAUAAAACUCCAACAAAAAAAGCAAGUAAGAUAAAAUGUUAACAGUAAGUGAAGCUGUAUGGAAGCUAAACAGGUACUUUUUGCCCCAUUCUUGAAACUUUUUUGUGACUUUGAAAUUAUUUCCAAGUAAAUACUAGGCUUUUUAUAUUAAAAUCUUCUCUAAGGGA